rnacentral:rRNA from 1 species
UACGGAGGGUGCAAGCGUUAAUCGGAAUUACUGGGCGUAAAGCGUGCGCAGGCGGUUUGGUAGGUCUGCUGUGAAAUCCCCGAGCUCAACUUGGGAAUUGCAGUGGAUACUGGCAGGCUGGAGUAUGGUAGAGGAAGGUGGAAUUCCCGGUGUAGCAGUGAAAUGCGUAGAGAUCGGGAGGAACACCAGUGGCGAAGGCGGCCUUCUGGACCAAUACUGACGCUCAUGCACGAAAGCGUGGGGAGCAAACAGG